rnacentral:lncRNA from 1 species
UAAACACCCCCUGACUAGCGACGGCAGUGACCCUACCCAACGAGGCAUCAUUUUCUUUCAUCGGGUUUCUGGUUAUGUGAAUUGAAAGUUUGUUAUUAUGGUCGUUAGAUGUCUUGGACUGGAACCUGCUGUCUGGAGUAGCUGGAGUGGUCAUGGGUCGACUGGAGGGAUUCAUGUGAUUGAACUAUUGAUAUCAUACAUUGAUUUUUGAAACAGUUUAACAUUGGGUUACUAUUUGCUUCCGCUGAACAUGUUGGUUUUCAUUUAA